GCACUCAUACUUCAAAGAGUGGAUGAACCUGUUUGACUGGCUAGGCUUGGUGUUGAUCUUGUGUAUAAUACCUUUACGGUACACUGACAACAAAGCACAGUGGAGAGUGGCAUCUUUAGCGUUCCUGUUCAACUUCCUGAGAACUUUUAAGUUUUCUUUUGUAACAAGGACCGCAGGGCUGCCUGUACACAAAGACCUUGGCCAAGAUCAUUCAGAAAGACAUAACGAGAUUUAUAGCAGUUUUUGCUGUUGUGUUUCUAUCUUUCUGUGGAGCCUUGCUUUUGUCUCUCCAGUCUUCUAAGAAAAAUCAGCAGUUCAGGUGUGUGUUCAUUGUAUGCCUUCGUGUCUCUUAUAAUGAAACAUAAACUGAAUUUUUUUCUUCCAUUUUACAGUGGUUUUGCCGGAAGAGGACUUGUUGAGCGGAUUUCGUGCUCUUUCCGAACAACAACCGACUGCGGAAGAUUCCUCAACUUUCAAGUAACUUCUAACUUCUCCCAAUAACUGAUGAAGAGGUUUCAUCUCAAUAUUCCAUGCUGAGUCCUUUAUUGCCAUAUAUGAAAUUGCUUACAAUACGGUGAAGAAAACUUGAAAAUAUUAGUUUGAUAGAACACAAAAAACACAUCAAAAUGGAAAGAAAAAUUGUGAAGCGAACGUGGAGGGCUGAGGGUGGAAAAGAUUAAAACGGAUUGAAAAUAACCACAAAAUGUUUGCUCACGCGUUUGUUUGUUUGUUUGUUUUUUCAUUACUGUCAUCAAACUCUGCGAUUUUGUUUCUUUUGCAGCUGGCUCAGUAUCGAUUCUGUUGAUGUUAUCGUACAUGGGGACUGUGACAGUGAUUCUGCUCAACUUUCUCAUUGCACAGAUGAGCACGACCUACACUCAAGCCAAGAAAGUCGCCCGCCUAGAAUAUGAUGUGGAUCGAUUUUCACUGCACACCCGUAUGGAGAGAUUUCAUUUUCUGAAUCUACGCGUGAAGUAUUAAAAAGAAGGAGACUGGAUCAGUGAAAUGAAACUUGCAAAAG